rnacentral:rRNA from 1 species
AACGCGAAGAACCUUACCUGGGCUUGACAUGCUGGUAGUAGAAACCUGAAAAGGCGACGAGCCCCGCAAGGGGAAGCCAGCACAGGUGCUGCAUGGCUGUCGUCAGCUCGUGCCGUGAGGUGUUGGGUUAAGUCCCGCAACGAGCGCAACCCUCGCCCUUAGUUGCCAGCGGGUAAUGCCGGGCACUCUAAGGGAACUGCCCGUGAUAAACGGGAGGAAGGUGAGGAUGACGUCAAGUCCUCAUGGCCUUUAUGCCCAGGGCCACACACGUGCUACAAUGGCCGGUACAAAGGGUCGCGAACCCGUAAGGGGGAGCCAAUCCCAAAAAACCGGCCUCAGUUCAGAUUGGGGUCUGCAAUUCGACCCCAUGAAGUCGGAAUCGCUAGUAAUCGCGGAUCAGCACGCCGCGGUGAAUACGUUCCCGGGCCUUGUA